GGACCUAUUUCUCUCUGUGAAGGGAUAAGGGAUUUUCAUCAUCAGCCUCUUCCCUGAGUGCAGUUGACUCUUGGGCGCAGAAAAGUUAGAAGUGUGGCUUUGAAAGGCUAAAAGGAAGAUUCUGCGCCAUGCUGAGUCUGCCUCCAUCUCUCUUCUCAGCGGGGACGUUUUAGGCGGACACCCAGCCGGCUCCAGACUGCCACUUUGAUCUGCUUAUUAUGUCAAGAAGGAACUUCAAGUUCAUGGCCUGUUACUGUGAUGUCCUCUCCCCUAUGCCACGUGGUUGGAGAAUAUAAUGAUGAUGCCGGGGACCAGACUCUCACUGCGGAAUAAAUGGGGCAGAAUAUAAGGAGUGGAGAAAAGGAUGAGAAAUUACCCCGUGGGGUAAGGUUAUAAUACUUAUUUUUGCCCACUGAAUGGACCCAGAAGCGAUCCACCAGCAACGAGCAUACCUAGAGCCCAGAUCUUGCUUUUCAGAUACCAUUCUCUCUAAAAGGAACGAGACCUCCUUGAAGACAUUAAUGCAAGGUUUGGGGCAGAGAGAGUUAGUAAGCCUGGAAUAUCUUAUGCUAGAAAAUAGAACAUGCUCAAAGUUUAAUGAAGCAAGGAUUCGUAUUGAAAGGUCUUCCAGGGGUCAAACUUGGGACAAUUUGAUCAUCAGAAGUAAUAAUGGAGCAUCUCCAAAAAUAACCCAGGAGGCCAUCACGAUUCCAGAGACAAAAGUGGGGGAGGAGAAGCUCUUCUUUACAGACAAAAUGCCAGAUAAAAAGUAU